CCCUCAUCUCUCGCUCUCUCCAGAACCCUCCGCUCCGCAUCGGCAGCAGCAAGAGAGAGAUUGGAACAGAUACAGAGAGCAGCAAGAACGCGAGCUGAAGAGGAGUGGCAACCAAGAACAAGAACCCCUCGAUCAGGAGCGGGAAAGCCACGACCCAGAGUUUCAGCAAUGUCUGGCAAGUACAUCAUCGCUGCCCUUGCUGCCUCCGCCGCCAUCGCAUAUGCUUCCGAUGUCCUAGUGGCACAGAAGAAGGUUUUUGGAGGCACAACACCGAGGACGGUGUCGGACAAGGAGUGGUGGGAGGCGACGGACAAGCAGUUCCAGGCCUGGCCUCGCACCGCAGGGCCGCCGGUGGUCAUGAACCCCAUCAGCCGCCAGAACUUCAUCGUCAAGGAUAUCAAGCCUUGAUCAGGUUCAGGUGGUGAUGGUCAUGGUCUGAUGGCCCAAACUGGACACGAUGAUGUACUGAUGGUUGUAGCUACAGGCUGCCUGUGCUGUGUUCCCGGAUUCGUAGUACUUGGUCUGAAUAAAUCAGUGCUACCUUUCGUCUAGUGCGGUCUUGUCUCUUCAGAGGCAUAUUUCCUUUAGACAUUUGUCAUCCUGGAUGAUUGUUCUUAUGCUGUGUAGCCAGUAGCCUGAACUUUGUGCCUGUGCUCUGUCUGUGGUUGUCGAGUGAUCUGUCGCGCUGGGUGACUGGAAUAUGUGCCUUGUCUCCGAUGCAAGAAAAAAGAAGAAGAUCUGGGGCAGCUGUUUCAACCCCAGCUUCCA